rnacentral:rRNA from 1 species
GACGAACGCUGGCGGCGUGCUUAACACAUGCAAGUCGAGCGGAGCGGCGAACGGGUGAGUAACGCGAGAGUAACUGCCCCCCUCUCUGGGCUAACAGUUGGAAACGGAUGCUAAUACCGGAUAGUGGGGGAUGACGCGCGUUCUAUCAGCGUGUUGGUGGGGAAGUGGCCUACCAAGGCGACGACUGGUAGCCGGCCUGAGAGGGCGACCGGCCACAUUGGUCUGAGAUACUGCCCAAACUCCUACGGGAGGCAGGAGUGGGGAAUAUAGCACAAUGGGGGAAACCCUUGUGGAGCAACGCCGCGUGCGGGAUGACGGCCUUCGGGUUGUAACCCGCUUUCAGCCAUGACACGGUAGUUGCAGAAGAAGCACCGGCUAACUACGUGCCAGCAGCCGCGGUAAUUC